UUUUUUUUUUUUUUUUUUUUUUAAUGCUUCAAUAUCUAUUUAUCUUCUUGAUUUCUUUUUUGUAGGUUCCAGUUAUCUGCUGAACUUUUUGAGUUCGGCUUUUAUCUCCUUGGACAUAGUCAGGAAGUCAUCAAAGGUGCUAAGCAGGAGAGUGAGAGGAUCCAGGUUAUGAAUCGUUCACAGAAUUCAAUGUGUUCUCUUGUGUUUUCCUCUAUGAGGGGAGCAAGGGGGCUGAAGUGCCCAGGAAGAUGGCACCAUUUCAUAUGACUCCCUUUUGGAGCCAGAGUUCAAAAUAAAUUGGGUGGAGCCCAUUGAUUUUAGUUUUCUUUUUUUUGUUUUCCAACCUGAUUGACUCUGACUGGAAAGAGCAGAUUGAUUCAGAUGCUUCUAAUUUUCUGCCUGCUUGACAAAGCUCACCUCUUAUGUUUGCUUCCCAUCUGCAGAAGGUGCUCUGUCUCCUUCUGCUGGACCUGCACCAUCCUGAAAGGAUGCCUCUGCCUGAAAGGAUGACUCCAGAUUCCUCUUCCUCUAGGAGGCUUGCCUUCUGCAGUUCUGCAGAUCUAAAGACAGAGCCUACUUUAUAAGGCAGAGGCUGCAAACCACAGACCCCAGGUCUCUCCCAGGUUCCUGGUGUGUGUAUGUUUUCACACACCCCUCCUUUUUAUUCUUUUUUUGUCUUUUUAGGGCAGCACCCGUAGCAUAUGGAGGUUUCCAGGCUAGGGGUCUAAUCGGAGCUGUAGCCACCGGCCUACACCAGAGCCACAGCAAAGCCAGAUCCAAGCCAAGUCUGCGACCUACACCACAGCUUAUGGCAAUGCCAGAUCCUUAACCCACUGAGCGAGGCCAGGGAUUGAACCCACAACCUCAGGGUUCUUAGUUGGAUUUGCUAACCACUGAGCCAUGACGGGAACUCCUCACCCCCUUUUUUUUGUCUUUUCUUUUUAGGGCCCACCUGAGGCAUAUGGAGGUUCCCAGCAAACCUUCAUCAUCGUGGCUCCCUCCCGACCAGCCCGUCUUCUGGACCAGACCUUAGCAGUGACCAAGUGGCUGGAGAUAUGAAAGGCCAGCCCCUUGCCUCAAAACAGGAUUGAGCCGCAGUGCGACUUGUGCUCCGGAGCUUCUCCAGGGGAUCAUCCUGAAGUCAGGAGACCACAUCCUUGCUUAGCUUUGACCAGUACCCUCUCCUGCUUCCCUCACACCUCUUCUCCUGGAAGCUGUACCCCAGUGAGGCACAUGGGCUCACACCAGGCUUCUAAGAAGCCAGGCUUCUAGCAAGACACUGCAUAUCAGAACCAUCUGUGGAAUGUCAUAAAAAUACCUAUAUCUGGACCUAAACACCUAGAUCUACUGAUUCAGAAUCUAUAGAUCUUCAGGGGUGGGGUCAGGCAACUGUAUGUUGAUAAAGCCUAAUAGAUAUUUCUCAUACAUCUUUACCUUUCAACAUUCUAUACUGAAAUUUUCAAACCUACAGAAAUAACGAAAGAGUGGUAUGAUAACACCUACAUAUGCCUCAUCUAGACACAUCGAUAUUAACAUUUCCCCCCAUUUUCUCCUUUUAUCCUCUUUUCUUCUCUCUUCUUAUAUCAAAAAUAAUUUGUGAGCAAAUUAUAGACAUCAUGACACUCCUUCCUUAAAUACCUCAAACAAGUAUCUUCCAAAAAUAAAGGCAUCCCAUAUAACCCCUGAGAAAAUUAUUAUUAAUUCAUUAAUGUCAUUAGAUGAUACAGUCUGUAUUUAUGAUGUAUGUUCCACAAGGAACUAUAUUCAGUAUCUUUUAAUAAACUAUAAUGGAAAAGAAUUUUUAAGAGAAUAUAGAUAUAUACAUACAUGUUGGAAUGACCGAAUCACUCUGCUGUAACCCUGAAACUAACAUAAUACUGUAUAUCAACUAUACGUCAGUAAAAAAAAAAAAGAACAAAAAAGAUGCACCCUCUUUUUUAGGUCAAGGGUUGACAUUUUCUCUACUGUAGGUACAAAUGAAGGUCAGAGAAGGGAAAUACUUGUGUGAGUUGGAGAGCAAAGAGAAACCUUCAAGAAGGAAAUAGGAUUUGAAUGGGACUGUGGAGAACUGUUUCAGGAAAGGGAAGAGGAGAAAAGGUUCCAAGAGAGGUAGGUGACUAUUACACGCAAAGGCACAGAACUGGAAAGAAACUGGGCUCUUCUUGGGCCUGGUGCCUGAGCAGACCAUGCCAAAGCGACCGCGGCUGCCCAUGGAUGGGGGCAGAGCGUGAGGCUGGACAGACACAUGGAAGCAGAGUCCAAAGGGUCCUGCAGUUGAAGCAGUCAAGAAACAGGGACCGCAUACUGGUCUUAGGAGAGUCCCAUCAGAUUUUCAGAACACAUUCGGGUGGAAAGUAGGAAGAACAAUGCUUAAUGAUUUGGAGUCAAAAUUAGGCUAGGGAAUUCAUCAGGGGCUGAAGUCAUUUAUUCACAUGUUCAUUCUACCCACAUUUUCUGAGUCCACGAUAUUUUCCAGAUACCAAUCUAAGCACAGGAAACAAAAGCCCAGAAGGUCCCUACUUUGCUGGAGCUCAGGUUCCUGCAGCGUCUGUGUAUUGGGAGGGAGGAGGGGCAGGAGAUCAUUCAGUCAGAUGAGUAAAGGAACUGAGAAAAGAUUAGAUUAGAUUGAUGGUGAUAUGGUUAAAGUGAAAUAUAAAAGAAACCAAUUUAAUAGCGAUUGGAACCUGCUUUAGUGUUGGUAUUCAGGCAAAGAAAUAUUUAAAGCACUGUUAUGCUGGAGCCAGCUGCCAAUUCAGAAGAACAGAUAUUUCCACAAUUGUGUGAGCUGUUUGACAUGCCAUUGGCAGUAUUAAACGGGCCACAGCAGAAUAUCUAUUGUGGUUCUGUACUACAAGUCUACAAAUUCUCUGCGUCAGAUGCUACAAAUCGUGGCUUCAUUUUUCCCAAAGAGCUGGAUGUUGAACACUUACCGGCACUAACUUAACGAAGACCUACAUGCCAGGAAGGCAGCAAUGUGACAGUCCAGGAGAUAAUAUUCUAGGCAAUUAGUGCAGAGUCCCUACGAUGCAGAAAAAAAACUGGGCGUGAUCAAGGAACACUAAGACAGCUGGAGUUUGGCGACACGUUGGGGAGUUGGGGGCAGGGCAGAGGAUGAGGAUGGAAAUCGGCAGAAGCUGAAUCACUUGGGGCCAUGACGGCCUGUCAUGACAUUGGGGUUUUUACUUUGAAUGUGAUGGUAAAUUAUUGGAGGAACUUUAGCAUAAAGAUAGCAUAAUUUGAAUUAUGUUUUAAAAAGAUCACCUUGGCUGUUAGAGAAAGGAUUGGAGGAAGGGAAGAGGGACAGGAAAGAACUCAGCUAAGAAUUUAGCAUUUAUGAAGCAAUGUAUAUACAAGGUCAUUUUGCAAUGUUGCACCACCAAAUGGCAAAAUAUUGGAAAAUGCCCAAAUGUCCAACAGCAGAGAAAGAAACUGAUGUGUCAAUCCAUAAAACGGAAGUGCUCAAUAGUUGUUUUAUAAAAAUAAAGACACUCUACCUACUAUUAAUAAAAUAUCCCCAAGACAGGUCAUUAAAUGGAAAUAGAGUUGGGAAUUCCCAUCAUGGCUCAGUCAGUGGAAUCUGACUAGUAUCCAUGAGGAUGCAGGUUCAAUCCCUGGCCUCACUCAGUGGGUUAAGGAUCUGGCGUUGCUGUGAGCUGUGGUGUAGGCCAGCAGCUGUGGUGUAGGUAGCAGACCCGGCUUAGAUCCUGUAUUGCUGUAACUGUGGUGUGGGCCAGCGGCUCAGCUCUGAUGCGACCCCCACCCUGGGAACCUCCAUAUGCGGCGGGUGCGGCCCUAAAAAGGUAAAAAUAAAAAAAUAAGAAAAUAGAGUUGGUACAAAGUAGAUUGUAAAGGAUAAUGCUUUCUGUAUAAAAUGGGGGAGUGGGGCACAAAUUAUACUUAUGGAUACACAUUGCAAAAUAGCUAAAAGGGAUUAUAACAAACGAAGAGAUAAAAGCGUAUUCCACUGCCAUUUUCAGAGGUCAGAAAGGAUCAUGCAUUGGCAAUUGCAUAUGGUUUGGCCUACGCUGUUAUUUAUUCUUUCUUUCUCAUGUGGGAUUUGCUAGAGGAGACAAAAGCAGAUGUGGUGCAGUCUUGUGAGGGGCACUUUUUACUGCAUGCCCCCUUUAUGCUUUAUGAAACUGUGAGAAAAUGGUCUUCGAUUCCUUAUUUUAAAAUUAGGUAGAUACAUGAUUGACAGGUAGGCGGAAGAGCUGGAGAGGGAUGAGAGGACUCUUGCAAAGGUCCAGUCGAAGUUUACGGCCCCUGAGAUUAGAGCAGUGGCAGGAGGGAUAAAGAGGCGAAGGCUUGGGAACCUAUCUCUGUGAUAGAGUGGAUAGGACUGGCUGUGAGAUUUUUUUUACGUCUGUGGUGAUGUAGGGGAGGAAAACAGGGAAGAGAAGAGACAUCCUCCCUUGAGUAAUUAGAUGUAGUUGUCUGGGCAGGGAAGUCAAUGGUGGUACCAUCUACUAAGAUAACAGCUAGGGAAGGAGCAGGUUUGGUGGGCAGAAUGAAAACGCUGGGAAACAUCCUAUUUGAGAGGCUUAUAGACCCUGAUGUGGCUACGUCAAUUAAGGGACUGAGACAGCCAGACCUGGGGUUCAGGAGAGAGUUUAGGGCUUUGAGGUCUGAAGUCAAGAGUUAUCCCAAUUGUCAGAGAGAAAGAAAGGCAUUUUUUAAGAGAGAUUCUGGCAAACUUCAAGGCUCUUUCUUCUCCCUUUGUCCUGGAACUUCAUAGACGUUGCACAAAGGAAACUCAGACGGUCAGGGAGCAAUGCUUGAUCCAAGAGAAUCGGAACACAUGUCCCCACAUUUAAAUGCCCUUGCACCUGCAACAUUAUGUGUUGUUCGAUCCUGGAGCCCACAAAUGUUAUCUAGGAAGCUGGGAGAAAAGGCUGUCCCAGAGCAGGGAGGCCCCUCAGACCUGGCCAAUAGCAGUUUUGCAUCCACGGCUGGUAGCUUUUCCAGAGUGUCGAAUGCAACACAUCUUCCUACUACUUCUGUGGGAGGUGCAGAGGCACAAAGAAGUUCAAACAGGAGCAAAGCUGAAACGGCUCUCCUCCCCCCAUCAAACUAGCUAAUCCAACUGUUUUUAAAAGAAACAAAACUCAAAGUGAAACAGGGCUCAGCCAUUGAAAAUGGCUUAAACUGACCUGGUCACAUACAGAACUGGGGAUAAAAGAGUAAGUGACAAAAAAAAAAAAAAAAAAAAAAAAAAAAAAGAUACAUGGAAACAUGAUAAAAAUUAAAACUCUGGUGAGCUCUAAGGCUCAGGCUCAGUGCUCAGCAGGUUUUGGCAUGAGCUUGGCAGUGGGGAUGGAACAGCCUUGGUAGGUUUGCAGAAGGAACAGGAAAACCCAGGCUCCCACCACACCACACACUCAUAUACAGGGAAGGUGGUCCCUGGGCACUUCUGAUGGGUGUUGAGCUGUUAGCCCCACAUCCUCGAUCGGUUGCCAAAAUGGAUAAUUAAACCUAGUCGUUCUAAUGAAAUCCCCUCAUCCUCUGCAUUGCAGAGGGGGUUCCAUGCAGCCUUAGGGGAGAGGGGAGCUGGGGGACAUACACCCCAGGCAGAAGAGCAUCCAUGGGGCACAGAAUGAAAUACAGAUGAGUCAUUAACUGGUGAGGGCGAGCCCUGAGGGUGACUCAGUGAGAAAUUUGGGACUGAAACUGGACAACAUCAGAUCAAAACGUCCAGGGCUGACCCCACGAAACAAAAUCCAAUUUUUUGGUUGCCAAACCAUCUAACGUAUACUUAGUUUGGGAUUAUGAACAUCUGGUCUUAGUUCACCCUGGCGAGAAAUACACGUAAAUUGGGAAGCUAAUAGCUCUCUUGUCUACUCAGAAAUCUUCCACAGAAAGAGGAUGUAACUCUUUAUGUAUAUAAAUGCAUACGUUGUUCUUACACUCAUUGCUGCUAUUAUUGGUUCCAUGACUGACAAGGAAGGAAGAUGGCAUUAAACUUAGACAAAAUUUGAGAUAUACAUAGAUUUAUUAAUAGACAUGUGCAGGUUCUUGUUGGAAACCCAAAGCUUGGUGCCCUGAAGAUUCUUACAGAAAAAGAAAGAAAAUAGUAAACUCAUCUUUCUUCGUUGGGAGUGAAUAGACUGUGAAGGCUCUCAAGAUUACCUGGUGCAGAUGAUUCCUGGUGGUGUUUCUGCCCAGUCUGUGGGUAAGCACAGACCCAGGAGAGUCUGGUUUUAUAAUCUGUGUUAUGUUCUUACUAUCCUUCCAACAGUGGGGGCUUGCUACUGACCCUUACUGGGAGAUCUCAAAAAAAAAAACAAAAACAAAAAACCCUCCAACCCUGAGGGAUCCAAAGAGAUACCCAAAACUGUACAUUAAUAUGAUAAACCUAAGACAGGAGCGAGGUUUAUCUGGGGGAGGAAUGAAUUAAGGGAGCUAUCCUGACAGUGAAAUGCAUUAUUACCUAGUUAUGCAUGCACUCUUGGCUUUUCGGCUGAUGAACUUUUCACACCCAAAGUGGGGAAAUUAAUCAACUUUUCCUCCCUGCAAGUCUUCUAUCUCCUCUGCCGUCUCACCUAAUUGUUUUGCACUCAAUAUGGACAAAGACAUUGUUCUCAUUUCAACUUUCUCUACAAAGCUCAGGUGUCCUUAUCUGCCUCUGAAACUCAUUCUCACCUCA
rnacentral:lncRNA from 1 species